rnacentral:rRNA from 1 species
ACACGUCUACAUUAGAUACCCGGGUAGUCCCAGCCGUAAACUAUGCGCGUUAGGUGUAUCGGUGACCACGAGUUACCGAGGUGCCGAAGGGAAACCGUGAAACGUGCCGCCUGGGAAGUACGGUCGCAAGGCUGAAACUUAAAGGAAUUGGCGGGGAGCACCACAACAGGUGGAGCCUGUCGGUUUAAUUGGACUCAACGCCGGGAAGCUCACCGGAUAGGACAGCAGAAUGAUUGCCGGGCUGAAGACCCUGCAUGACUAGCUG